rnacentral:lncRNA from 1 species
GACAUUGUGGCCAUAAGUAAGGGCGAACAGUGUUGUUCCUGUACUAGACCUUUUCAAGUUUCUAUAUGCCCAUAAAGUAUUGGAGAAAAGAGAAUGCCAUUUUUCGGGAUUAUUAUCAAUCAUCUUUUCCAAGAUCCCUUUUAUCAUCUUAUUGCUAGCAUUCUCUUGACAAUUCGAUUGAGGAUUGAAUGGGUUGUAUUGAACCAUACUUACCUCUCAAUCCUUGCAGCGGCUUGGACAGCUUCGCCCAUAAAAAUCAUUCCUUGGUCGGACAUAAUGGACUCGAACAAGUAAAAUUGGUGGAUAAUAGUCUUCUCUAUAAAUUCUAUCACCUCGACCUAGGUGACCUUCUUGAGUGGGGCGG